rnacentral:tRNA from 1 species
GGGGAUUUAGCUCAGCAGCAUAAGCGCCUGCCUUGCAAGCAGGCAAAUGUGAGUUCGAUCGUUUGAUCCCUG